ensembl:lncRNA uncharacterized LOC115616389
GCGCUUCGCGCCAUCAGCCCCCCGUGAGGGCGCCCAACGGUCAUGAAAUCCACAUCUCUACCCCUUCAUUUCUGCACUGCCUCUGCUGCAUGUGUCCCAUCUUGUCUCUUUUCUGUUGGGAGCAUUAAAACAGGAAUGCCCUCCCUGGGAAAACUCAGGAUUAUCUUUUCAACACGUCCAAAGAGCAGCUCUUUGCACUUGGCUGGGUCCUUGAAGAGGAUGUUUGCUGCAGCACAAGAGAAAUAUUUACUGUGUUCUCUUAUGGCUCAUGGUUUGGUUGCCUUGAUAUCCAAAUGACUGAUCCUGCCAUCUACAGAGACUAAAUGACGCUCUUGCCAUCACAGUGGACUAGAAGAGAUGAAGAUGGCAGGAUCCUUCAGCCCCUUGUGGGAAGAUGCUACAAUGUAAGAAGCUUCUUCAGUGGUUUCCUUCAUCUCAGUGCUGCUGGACUUCCCACACCUUCUCUGCAGCGUGUUGCCCUACAGAUGGAAGACUGAGCUGCAAACCAGCAGAAACCCUAGACUUCGACCAGGGAAUCUUGCAGCCAAAUACAGAUAUCCAAUUCCAGAACAGGUUUGGCAACCUUCUGAUGUUUAUGGGGUUUGGAGUAUUAUUUCCCACAGGCACUUCCGUAGCCGGAUGCUAGAUCAAGGUGUAAGUUGGCCAGUAAGUUUUGCAUUGCUUUAUGCCCCUCAUACAGCCUUGCUGGUGGAGAGAGACCUCGUCCUCAAGCAGUGUGGCUUGUGAUGAGCUGUGGUAGUUAACUGUACAUCAUUCAUCCAAGUUUAGUAUUCCUUAUACUGCUGAAUUGUGCUGGAAAGAGUUCUCUUCACAGAAGCCCACAACAUGCUGUGGCCUUUUGUGUCUGCACUCUACCUCCUAAACCCAAGCUGACUCAGCUCUUCCUCUGCAACCUCUGCCUUGUCCACAGCUGGCACGUAGAGCUAGUAGGAAUGAUACUAUCUGCCAUUUAAAACUUGAAUCAAGCUUGUCAAUUAAAAGAGCUACACCACAUUAGCACUCCCAGGCUAGAUCAAUUUUGUGCUUUAAUUUGUGGAGUUGGUGAGACUAUUCAAAGAUUUGCUCACGUCUCUGAACUCAUUCUGCAGGUACUGGCAGGAUUUCAGCACUAAAGUUGCUGCUCCCAGGGGCUUUAAUGGUACCAGACACAUUCCGUGGCAACUCCUGUUUGCCCUUUUUAUCAGGAGUUUAACAUUGCCCUUUGAGGGCAUGUUUUUGCAGUCAUAAAUACGCUCUUUGCUUUUACACAGUUGUGCUCUUGCAAGUAAUAAUGGGCAGAGAUGUUCACUUAACUCUUUUUACAGAAUAAACAGUAGCAGCCAAAGGUGAGUAUGAGAUUCUCUGUGCUUUGUUAGCACAGGUGUACUGGGAAAAGGGCCCUGAAAGCUCUGGAACCAAGCACAUAAAAUGGGAUUCUUGGAAGUAAAUGUAAGAUGCCACAUACUUAAGAGGGUUAACAAGAGGAAAGGUGUUCUAGGGAAUGCUGCAGCAUUGCAGCAUUCAUUCCAACUGGUACUGUUGUCACAGGCAACAGAUAACUACCAGCUCUUACCUGCAAUAUAUCUCCAUGCUGAAUUAACCAUGACCACUGUGAGUGUCAGCAUACCUGCAGCAGUGUAACCUGCUGUUCCUGUGUUGACUAGUGCUCAUCUGAAAGCCACCGCCUCCAAAGCCUUUCCAUGCUGGAAGUGUGGGAUUUUCUCACCUGCUUGUAUCACAUUUGCAUUUUGCUGGAGACUCUAUCCCAAUUUCCCUUCCUCCCUGCUACCCAGCAGUCAUGAAUUAAGUUGCAUAUGAGCAUUAAGGAAAGAACAAGAUCCUGUGGCUUAGAACCUCCUUUUUUGGGGAUAACUGUUCUGUGUAUGAAGGGGAAUCUGCUAGUCUUCAAAUCUUGAUUUAUUGCUGGUUUCUUACACAGUGAGCUGAGCACUGGUGGUCAGGAACAUGCUGUGUUGCAGCCUCGUGGCAGGACUUACAUGCUGGAGUGUCUGCAGUGUAGUACUAGGAGCAGAUUGUGUUACUGAAGGUGAGGUUGUGCUUAUCUGUGAGGCUUCCCCAAAAGCUGCCAGAUGGAAGUAGCUUUUCAGAAGAAUGAGGAUAACGCUGCUGUAAUCAAGCUGUCUCAUUAAAAAUACUCCAAAGUGAAUCAGGUACCUGUUUGGUAUGUCAUGCCUGCACUGGGGAAUGCCACUUACUUUGAUGUUAACAGCCAGUGUCCUAUCAUAAAGCAGUAUAUCCGUGUGGCUGUGGAAAUUCAGGUUGUCAUGAGGGCCCUCAUCCUUUCCAAGCCUCUGUACUCAAGACAUUUGUGACUUGAGCUGCGGGUUAUUACUGAGCACCUCUUGCAAUCAUGACCUUGGUUUCUGCUGUGCCCCAAAAAUCAAGUCUUCACAUAACCCAAAUUAAAAAGCAGCUCUUUUUGCCAUCCUCAAUAACACAGGGGUUGUGAACAUUAAUACCAAGCACUAUGUAAAUAUUAAAUAUCAAAAGUAUAUUAAUUUAUAUAGCACUAUAAAUGCUAUAUAAAUUCAACCUUGAAUGAAAGCCCUUAUCCAAAGAUUUCUAAAGAGCUUGUGCAUCUUGGCCUGGGGAGAAAGGAAAAUAUAUCCUUUUUUAAGAAAAGUGAAAAGCUCAACUCAAUGUCCUGCUAUUUACUGUGUGUAUUUAUAUUGCACAAUCAAGGAGUUGCAUUAAAAUGUAUCAGUUGCCAAAACUCCAUUUUCCAGCUAAAUUUGACCAAGCUGAAAAGGGAAUUAUAUAUGCCAGAGGACUGCAGUAAAAGAGAUUUAAGGGUUUUGAAAUACUGUAAAACAAGACUAUAAUAAGUGAGUAGUGGUCCAGUCAGCUGUUUUAAUUAAAACUGGGCUGCUUAUUGAUCUAUCAGAGAGAUUUACCCCCACCUGCAACACUUCAGCAAUAUUCCCUUCAACCAUUUAAGAAAAUAGUGUUUCUAAGGGACAUAUAAAGAAUAUAGAAGUGGAGAAUGGAAGUGUUUAACUAUGAGUUCGAUCUUUUUUCCAUCCCAUGUAAGCACCUUAUGUAUUUUCAUACAAAAAUGAAAGCGAGUAUGUAGAAUGUACAGGAUACUGCUUUUCUGAUGUAAUUCUAAUGGGUUUGCUGAUUGCUUUAAAGAGGUCUAAAAUACACUGCUUUCUCUCAUAUUUAUAAAGGUGUCAUGUCUAAAAAUGUUCUUGCCACUGAAACCAGUAGGAUCUUCUGUGGUUACAUCUUCAAGGUGGGAGUUUGCCAUGCCUCACGUGAUUGAAGGAAGUUCUCUGUGUGAAAGCCAAAGAAAAUGCUAAGAAGGCACUAAUAAGUGUUUGUCAUGAGUAUGGAAGGCUACUGUAUCAGCAGCUUGGUAGCUCUUUGUUCUAAAGGGCUUGAUUAUUUAAUUUCUUUCUAUAAAAGUAAUGUGGUGAAAUUGAAACAGUGUGAAAUUAAAACGGUAUCGAU